AGCAGCCGCGGUAAUUCCAGCUCCAAUAGCGUAUAUUAAAGUUGUUGCAGUUAAAAAGCUCGUAGUUGAAUUUCGGGAUCAAUACGUCGGUCGUGCUUCGGUACGUACUGGCGUCAUUGGUUUCUCCCUUCUGACGAACCAUGAUGUCAUUAACUUGGUGUCAUGGGAAAUCAGGACCGUUACUUUGAAAAAAUUAGAGUGUUUAAAGCAAGCUAACGCUUGAAUACAUUAGCAUGGAAUAAUGAAAUAGGACGCUCGAUCCUAUUUUGUUGGUUUCUAGGAUUGACGUAAUGAUUAAUAGGGAUAGUUGGGGGCAUUAGUAUUCAAUUGUCAGAGGUGAAAUUCUUGGAUUUAUUGAAGACUAACUACUGCGAAAGCAUUUGCCAAGGAUGUUUUCAUUAAUCAAGAACGAAAGUUAGGGGAUCGAAGACGAUCAGAUACCGUCGUAGU
rnacentral:rRNA from 1 species